AGUGAACGCUGGCGGUAGGCCUAACACAUGCAAGUCGAACGGCAGCACAGUAAGAGCUUGCUCUUACGGGUGGCGAGUGGCGGACGGGUGAGGAAUACAUCGGAAUCUACUUUUUCGUGGGGGAUAACGUAGGGAAACUUACGCUAAUACCGCAUACGACCUACGGGUGAAAGCAGGGGAUCUUCGGACCUUGCGCGAUUGAAUGAGCCGAUGUCGGAUUAGCUAGUUGGCGGGGUAAAGGCCCACCAAGGCGACAAUCCGUAGCUGGUCUGAGAGGAUGAUCAGCCACACUGGAACUGAGACACGGUCCAGACUCCUACGGGAGGCAGCAGUGGGGAAUAUUGGACAAUGGGCGCAAGCCUGAUCCAGCCAUACCGCGUGGGUGAAGAAGGCCUUCGGGUUGUAAAGCCCUUUUGUUGGGAAAGAAAAGCAGCAGGUUAAUACCCCGCUGUUCUGGCGGUACCCAAAGAAUAAGCACCGGCUAACUUCGUG
rnacentral:rRNA from 1 species